rnacentral:rRNA from 1 species
UACAGGGGGGGCAAGCGUUGUUCGGAAUUACUGGGCGUAAAGGGCCCGUAGGCGGCCAACUAAGUCACACGUGAAAUCCCCAGGCUUAACCUGGGAACUGCGUGUGAUACGGGCAGGCUAGAGUUCGGUAGGGGAGACUGGAAUUCCUGGUGUAGCGGUGAAAUGCGCAGAUAUCAGGAGGAACACCGGUGGCGAAGGCGGGUCUCUGGGCCGAUACUGACGCUGAGGAGCGAAAGCGUGGGGAGCGAACAGG